CCAUUUCCAUUCCGAUAAGGCAGAGGGGAGAGGUCGAGCGGCGGAGGAGGGGGAGGCGAUUCCUUGUGUUCAUGGCGAUUUCGAGCUCAUCCACGGCAGGAUACUGACUUCUUCCUCUUGUUUCUCGUCGUCCGCGGCUGCUCUGUGUUUUCUCCAUAAUAGGAAGUGUAUGUAAGAUCAAGGGUCUGCAGUGGUAUGCGCAUGAAGUUCUGCUGUGCAUUUUGUCUACCUUCAUCUCUGUGCAGUUGACCUAUAUGCAUCUCUAUGCUGUAGAACUUCACUGCUUGCUUAUGUGCCUCAUGUAGCUUUGCUGUACUUUCUUAUUUUUUAGUUAAUAUUGUACCCCUUGCAGUAUUUUGCCUAGUGUUUAUGUUGUCAUAGUUGAUGUGCAACUUGCUCCCUAAUUAGUGUGUGGGUAUUGUAUCCUUUGGCCUUUGUAAAUAUUGUAUCAUUUGGCCCUGUUCUAGUCUGUAAUACCCCUCUUGUUCUUCACUAUGCAUGUGUAGUAGCACUGCCUUCUUCUUAGUAUGAUUGAUAUUGUAUUUUUUCUUAAUUUCUAUUUGAUGUAUCUCUGACUUAGACUGUACUUCCCCUAGUUUUCUUUUGAUGCAGUUGUAUGCGAUGAAUUUUUGUAAUGUAUUUUCUGAAGUUCAGUGUAUUUCCCUGGAGUUUUACACUGUAAUUUGUGUGGGUGAGGAAUGUAAUUAACCAUAUGGCUUACACUGCAACUAAACAUAGGGCUUACACUGUAAAUUAGCAGAGUUUUCCACUUUAACUAACCAUAUGGCUUACACUGCAACUAACGAUAGGGCUUACACUGUAAAUUAGCAGAGUUUUCCACUGUAACUAACCAUAGGGCUUACACUGUAAAUUAGCAGAGUUUUCCACUGUAAUUAACCAUAGGGCUUACACUGUAAAGUAGCAGAGUUUUCCACUGUAAUUAACCAUAGGGCUUACACUGUAAAUUAGCAGAGUUUUCCACUGUAAUUAACCAUAGGGCUUACACUGUAAAUUAGCAGAGUUUUCCACUGUAUUUUGUGUUGAUGAGGACUGUAAUUUGUGGUUUGGCCUUAGCUUGUAUUUUUCAUAGGGCUUACGCCAUAAUUGAGUAGAGUUUUACACUAUAAUUUUUCUUGGUGAGGACUAUAUUUGUUGUAGGGUUUACAGUGUAAUUGUAAAGUGUAUUUUUCCUGUUGGGCUUACACCGUAAAUGAGUAGAGUUCUACAGUGUAAUUUGUGUGGGUUGGGACUGUAAUUGUACAAUGUAUUUUUCCUAUUGGGCUUAAUCUGUAAGUCACCAGAGUUUUUCUGUGUAA